GACGAUGUAGUCAAAUGGUUACGGCGUAGGUUCAAAUCCUAUCAUCGUCG
rfam:Sphaerobolus stellatus SS14 unplaced genomic scaffold SPHSTscaffold_54, whole genome shotgun sequence.